GUCCUGGGCCGGAAGCUUUGGGCAAUCGUGUGAAUACCAGUCGUGAUGGGGCUAGAUCUUUGUAAUUAUUGAUCUCCAACGAGGAAUUCCUAGUAAACGCAAGUCAUCAGCUUGCAUUGAUUACGUCCCUGCCCUUUGUACACACCGCCCGUCGCACCUACCGAUUGACCGUUCCGGUGAGACCUUCGGAGGGC
rnacentral:rRNA from 15 species